GAAGUUGUUAUUUUAAAUUAGAAAAAUAAUUAAAUUGAAAAAAAAAAUUAAUAUGACUUUGUGGGAAAGAAAUUUCAGUUAUAAUUUCUUGAACAAUAAUGUUUAUAUUAUUAUUAUAAUUAUUUUUAAUGAGAUUUGAAACAUUUUGUAACAACUUAUAUUAUUUNCACACAAUUGGUUGAUCUUAGUGUCACUGAACUCAGUUCUGUUAAACAAAAUUUUAAGGUUCAAACUUUGCGAUCAGAAAUGGCAUUCUCAUAAAUGAAUAAUAAUCCAUUCUUUUUACUGUCCACGAGAGUUAUAUCAUACAUGCAUGACUCAUAAGAUAGCAUUAAUUACAGGGUCCAUCCUAGUAUUUAUUUCUGGACUGUAUUCANUUUCUCAACCUCAAAAACACAUCUUGUAUAGCAGAAUUGAUUUGGUAGCUUAAAUAAUGACGGAAAAUCGAUUCCAUGGUAGGAAAUAAUUGAUUAUCUUCACAUAGUUUCUCCCAUAUAAUCGAUUGAUUCAGCUUAAAUACACAGGGGAUUCGAUUUUCAGCCCUCUAAAAUCGAUUCCCUACCGUUUUCUAGAAUGAAAUUGGUGAACACGAUGUUUUUUUUUUUACUGCUAUGUUUUUUAAUUAGAAUUGUAACUCGUUCGCAUGUGUAUUGUAUUUCGUCCAUGCUUACAUGACUUUCCUCGACGAUCUUUUUAUUUGAACAAAGCACUGAGAAGUGGGUCAUACAUUUUCAGAUUAUAAGAUCUUAAAAUAAUUUCAUUUUACUUACAAUGGAUGGAAAAGUAGAAAAAUAAAGUGAAUAAAAUUUCUUAUUAUAGUGGUCUUCUUUUAAGUAGAAAAAUAAUUCUCAUAAAUAUUUUAUUAUUUAAAUAUAAAACUUAAAAAUAGAAAAAAUUAACUAUCAAAUUUCAUUACAAAAUGCAUUAUUUUUC
rnacentral:lncRNA from 1 species